rnacentral:rRNA from 1 species
AGUCGACGAUGAAUCUUCUAGCUUGCUAGAAGUGGAUUAGUGGCGCACGGGUGAGUAAUGCAUAGGUUAUGUGCCCUUUAGUCUGGGAUAGCCACUGGAAACGGUGAUUAAUACUGGAUACUCCCUACGGGGGAAAGUUUUUCGCUAAAGGAUCAGCCUAUGUCCUAUCAGCUUGUUGGUGAGGUAAUGGCUCACCAAGGCUAUGACGGGUAUCCGGCCUGAGAGGGUGAUCGGACACACUGGAACUGAGACACGGUCCAGACUCCUACGGGAGGCAGCAGUAGGGAAUAUUGCUCAAUGGGGGAAACCCUGAAGCAGCAACGCCGCGUGGAGGAUGAAGGUUUUAGGAUUGUAAACUCCUUUUGUUAGAGAAGAUUAUGACGGUAUCUAACGAAUAAGCACCGGCUAACUCCGUGCCAGCAGCCGCGGUAAUACGGAGGGUGCAAGCGUUACUCGGAAUCACUGGGCGUAAAGAGUGCGUAGGCGGGGUAAUAAGUCAGAUGUGAAAUCCUGUAGCUUAACUACAGAACUGCAUUUGAAACUGUUACUCUGGAGUGUGGGAGAGGUAGGUGGAAUUCUUGGUGUAGGGGUAAAAUCCGUAGAGAUCAAGAGGAAUACUCAUUGCGAAGGCGACCUGCUGGAACAUUACUGACGCUGAUGCACGAAAGCGUGGGGAGCAAACAGGAUUAGAUACCCUGGUAGUCCACGCCCUAAACGAUGGAUGCUAGUUGUUGCCUUGCUUGUCAGGGCAGUAAUGCAGCUAACGCAUUAAGCAUCCCGCCUGGGGAGUACGGUCGCAAGAUUAAAACUCAAAGGAAUAGACGGGGACCCGCACAAGCGGUGGAGCAUGUGGUUUAAUUCGAAGAUACGCGAAGAACCUUACCUAGGC